rnacentral:lncRNA from 1 species
AUGGAAACAAAUCCUUGGUACCCUGGAUGACAUGGUGUAUUUAACCAGAGGGAUGGGGGAAUAGGUGUCAACAUCUCUUGCAGGUUUCUUCAGCAUGCAGACAUACAGCAAAAACUGACUUUAUUGAGGGGCCUUCUCUCCAGAUUCAGGUCACCUCACCCACAGCCCUGGGGGCAAACACCACUAGGUCCUAAAGAAACACUGAAUGUAAUGAGCACCCAGACCCUGCAAGCCUGAGGAUGCUCCAAGGUGGAAGCUUGAAGGGCUCUCCCAGCAGGAAAAGUCAUCUCUUCCUUCAGUGUUUUUAAGUAUUUGUAGCAACAAUAAUUGAUAGUCCAUUUAU